rnacentral:rRNA from 1 species
ACGAUGAACCUCCUUCGGGAGGGGAUUAGUGGCGAACGGGUGAGUAACACGUGGGCAAUCUGCCCUGCACUCUGGGACAAGCCCUGGAAACGGGGUCUAAUACCGGAUACGACUCAGGACCGCAUGGUCUCUGGGUGGAAAGCUCCGGCGGUGCAGGAUGAGCCCGCGGCCUAUCAGCUUGUUGGUGAGGUAACGGCUCACCAAGGCGACGACGGGUAGCCGGCCUGAGAGGGCGACCGGGCCACACUGGGACUGAGACACGGCCCAGACUCCUACGGGAGGCAGCAGUGGGGAAUAUUGCACAAUGGGCGCAAGCCUGAUGCAGCGACGCCGCGUGAGGGAUGACGGCCUUCGGGUUGUAAACCUCUUUCAGCAGGGGAAGAAGCGAGAGUGACGGUACCUGCAGAAGAAGCGCCGGCUAACUACGUGCCAGCAGCCGCGGUAAUACGUAGGGCGCAAGCGUUGUCCGGAAUUAUUGGGCGUAAAGAGCUCGUAGGCGGCUUGUCGCGUCGGUUUGUGAAAGCCCGGGGCUUAACCCCGGGUCUGCAGUCGAUACGGGCAGGCUAGAGUUCGGUAGGGGAGAUCGGAAUUCCUGGUGUAGCGGUGAAAUGCGCAGAUAUCAGGAGGAACACCGGUGGCGAAGGCGGAUCUUCUGGGCCGAUACUGACGCUGAGGAGCGAAAGCGUGGGGAGCGAACAGGAUUAGAUACCCUGGUAGUCCACGCCGUAAACGGUGGGCACUAGGUGUGGGCAACAUUCCACGUUGUCCGUGCCGCAGCUAACGCAUUAAAGUGCCCCGCCUGGGGAGUACGGCCGCAAGGCUAAAACUCAAAGGAAUUGACGGGGGCCCGCACAAGCGGCGGAGCAUGUGGCUUAAUUCGACGCAACGCGCAGAACCUUACCAAGGCUUGACAUACACCGGCAAACAUCCAGAGAUGGGUGCCCCCUUGUGGUCGGUGUACAGGUGGUGCAUGGCUGUCGUCAGCUCGUGUCGUGAGAAUGUUGGGUUAAGUCCCGCAACGAGCGCAACCCUUGUCCCGUGUUGCCAGCAGGCCCUUGUGGUGCUGGGGACUCACGGGAGACCGCCGGGGUCAACUCGGAGGAAGGUGGGGACGACGUCAAGUCAUCAUGCCCCUUUAUGUCUUGGGCUGCACACGUGCUACAAUGGCCGGUACAAUGAGCUGCGAUACCGUGAGGUGGAGCGAAUCUCAAAAAGCCGGUCUCAGUUCGGAUUGGGGUCUGCAACUCGACCCCAUGAAGUCGGAGUCGCUAGUAAAUCGCAGAUCAGCAUUGCUGCGGUGAAUACGUUCCCGGGCCUUGUACACACCGCCCGUCACGUCACGAAAGUCGGUAACACCCGAAGCCGGUGGCCCAACCCCUUGUGGGAGGGAGCUGUCGAAG